CCUUCCUACGGGAGGCAGCAGUAGGGAAUAUUGGUCAAUGGGCGAAAGCCUGAACCAGCAACGCCGCGUGUGCGAUGAAGGCCUUCGGGUCGUAAAGCACUUUUCUGGGAGAUGAGAAAGGACAGUAUCCCAGGAAUAAGUCUCGGCUAACUACGUGCCAGCAGCCGCGGUAAUAAGGGCAG
rnacentral:rRNA from 1 species